GUAAGCCCAAAAUCCUCUUUUCUUUAACCCAACAACCCAUUAUACUCUCUUUUCCACUUAACCCAACUGUAAAAUUGGCCCAAUAGGCCCAAAAUAGCCAACCCGACCCAUUUGCUUUCCCUUCUUCAACAACUGUUAACAACAGCAAACAACAUAACAGCAACCCAGCCUUAUAACACCUGUGAAUCGGCCCACACCCUUAUAACUUCUCAUUACCAACAACAAACAAAAACAACGUACAACCCCCACAUAACAGCAAACAACAUCGAACACUGUAAUCUGUAUCAACAACGUUCAAUUCAACAAUGAUAAUUUCAAUACCACGCAAUAACAGUGACAAGCAACUCAACGGCAUAGCCCCAGCCACCCAUUCGUAUUCCCCUUUUACCCUAUGGUUCAACCAUCUAUGGCCAAAAAACAAAUUCCUUCAUCAUUUUCACUUAGUGACUCAUCAUUUCGGGCAAGGAAUUAUUUUCCAACGUCCCUCUCUUUUGUUUUACUGUGGACCUCAAACUUUUCAAGAAAACCAAUGCAAAAAUUCAGAUUUGAAAUCCACUCUUUCAAAUCCUAAACCCUAAUUUUCCUCUAUAAAUAGAGGUUGAAAGAAGAGGGAAAAAGAGGGAGGAAUUUUGGGGAAAAAUUGGGGGUUCUAAAAAUUUGGAAAGACAACUCGAAAAAACAAUUUUCAACUAACUUGGAUGAACUCUAUCGAUUGGAAUCUAGUUUUGGCAGUGGUGAAGGUUUCGUCCUUGAAAACCCGUGUCCCAUUAGCUGCCUGGAAAAAGACUCCAUUCCCUUCAUUUCUCAAUGGGGCAAAGAGGCCUACAUCUUCUACAAGUCCCAGAUACCUUUAUUUUUGAAGAAACGAGGCCGGUAGAAACUAGUAUACGCUUGAUAUAGGAGAUCUACAGGUCAAAGGUGGCCUUUAUAAGACAAGAUAUGAUGCAUGAUAAAUCUGGGAGCAAGUAUACAGGAUUUUAUACGCUGAUAUAUAGCAGAAAAACCGGACUGAUAUACAUGUGGUAUAUACAUUGUAGAAAAAAUGGACCCUCCAAAAGAAUGAGGUCCAAAAGGUGGACAGGCUUGCUAAUAGGCCACCAUGGGCCCAAAUCUUAAAACUUUGCUUCCUUUUUCUUGUAUUUAUUCUUGGAAAAACUCUAAUUGUUAUCAAUCAAUCUAGGCAAAUCCCCUAAGGUGUUGUCAUUUUGUUU